rnacentral:rRNA from 1 species
UACGUAGGGUGCAAGCGUUAAUCGGAAUUACUGGGCGUAAAGCGUGCGCAGGCGGUUAUGCAAGACAGAUGUGAAAUCCCCGGGCUCAACCUGGGAACUGCAUUUGUGACUGCAUGGCUAGAGUGCGGCAGAGGGGGAUGGAAUUCCGCGUGUAGCAGUGAAAUGCGUAGAUAUGCGGAGGAACACCGAUGGCGAAGGCAAUCCCCUGGGCCUGCACUGACGCUCAUGCACGAAAGCGUGGGGAGCAAACAGG